GACAGAGUAACAGGAAACCACAGAAAGAGAAACCCUCACAAGUAAGGGGGAACUCCUACAGUGACAGAGGCAUGUUGAAGUCUUCCUCAAUAAAUUGCUUCCAUAGGAAUCUCCAUUUCAGGCUCUGAUAUCACUGGAGAGUUGACAGCCACUGUCACAGAGAUCAGCUACCCCCUAACACAUGGCUUGGGUGUACACUGUAGAAGGCCUAAAUCUAAUUUAAAUGUCAUGCAAGUAUGGGCAUGUAUUCCUCACUAUGUGUGACUAAGGGACAUAACAUUUGUAUCUAUCUCCCUUCACUUGGCAAUUUAAUCUGUCUCAAAUUAACAUCACGUAUUUUACAGUAAGAACAAUCUUUCAUAUUUGUACUAUAGUAAAUUUAUAAAUAGUACCUCUAAUUUGAUUGCCCUCAGGGGUGGAUUGCAAAAAUGGCAGCAAAUUCCUCCCCUCCCUUAUCAUGACUGAGAUCCUCCCCUCAUAGGCAGAGUGGGUUUCCCCAGCUUUUAAGUCUGGGUGGCCUUGUGGCUUUCUUUGACCAACCGAAUGGAGCAGAGUGAAAACUGCCAAGUCUUGAGGCUGGAUCAUGAAAGCUCUUGCACAGAGGCUGGGCAAACAGACCUGCUGGAGGAUGAGAAGGUUGAAGCGCUCCAGCUGCCAGCUCGGCCUGCCCCCCAGUGUAACCUUGCAGCUGAUCUCUGCCAUAUGGACAGCUCAAACCACCCAGCAGAGCUGUUUCC